AAAUAAUCGUUCAAUUCGGCCAACUCGGUGCGAGAAAGCUCCUCAUCAGAAACACUAGCUUGAGAAGACGUUUUGCUUCUAUUUGGUAGCGUAUUAAGCUCAGCAACGUCUGGGCCACUUUGUUGUUCAGGUGCAUUGUCGUUUUGAAUAAAUAUGCGAAAUGGUUGAGAUUGUUGAGCACCUGCGUACUCUGAUGUAGAGUAUGGGCCAGUUUGUUGGUCAGCGACUUCAGCUUGGGAUUCCGAAGACUCUUCAGGAGAAUAUAUUGUGUCUACGACUGGAUGAUGAAUAAACAUUUGCUGGAAAUUAUUUGGCACUACAAGCUGCAUAUUGGGUGAAUCGGAGACAAGUAUUCUGCGUAGCAACUUUCGAGCCGCCUUUUCCCUGCGAUGAGCUCUUUCACGCUCCUCAUCCUCAAAUCGCUUUCUGAUUAUAGUCCGUACAACAUUUUCAAAAGCUCUACGCUCUUGCAGUUGCUCCAAAUAAUACUCUUGCAAACGAGCCUCUUGUUCCCGUUCAUGCAAGUAUUGACGGAAUUUUCGAUGUUGAAUUUGCUGGAGCACUUCUUGCCUUGCAUCCUCAAUUGCCUUCUUUCGCAAAGC